rnacentral:lncRNA from 1 species
UUGGUGAUUUUUAUAAUUACAUGCUUUUCUCUUUUUCACUCUCCAUAUUUUGCACCCAACUCGCAUCCACGAUUUCCUCGGCUUAUCCUCUCCCACACCACGGCCCUCAUUUACGUAUCCCCAACGCAAUUCCGAUCUCCACCUCCGUAUAAUUACCUCAUUUCUCAAGGAUUUAAAGGUCCAAAGGUUUUGAUGCAUAAUUUGAAUGGGUAUUUUCUGCAUUUGUUAACUUGAACCAUUAAUUUUAAUUUGAUCCGCAGUAUCGCAUCUCCUACCUUCGGUUUUUGGAGUCUCUUCUUCGCUACUCUUAUACAAUUAUGAUCUAAUAUAGCACUUCCGUUUUAGUGUGUUCAGUAAGGUUGUGUACAGCUCUGAUUCAUGUUGUGGGGGGAGGUAAAUCUUCAUCUACUUCAUUGCAAUGGGUUUCAUGAUUUAGUAUUAUCAUCUAUUCCUGAAUAUGAAUGAUUUGAUUAUUGAUAUGUAGCAUUUUUAGAUGUGUUGGAUUUUGUGGGUGCUUGUUUUAGAUUUCGGUUUUGCUUGUUGUCUGCUAUUUGAUAUUGAUUUAUGUUAUUUGGCACUCAAAGGGUAAUAUCAAACCUUUCCAGGUUCUGUUAAUAUUUGGCACUCAAACUAGGUCUUUGAUCACUUGAAAUCACAAAUGCUGUGGCAGAUUGGGUUCUUCACACACAAAUAUGCUCCACACAGUCAAGAAUUGGAAAGAGGAAUCCAAGGAGGAUAAGGCUAUCAUCACAGAUUCAUUGAGGGGGAGUUAUAAAAUAUCUUGCUAUGUUCAGGUUUUGUGUAAUUAACUGACUUUUUUUCCUUCUUCUUAUGCUACACUAUGCUUGGGUUCGACUAGAGGGACCGGGAUCUGAUGAGAUACAUUGAAGAUAAGAUGGCCAAGUUGUAUAGAUCUUAGAGAAGUAGGUUGUACAAACUUCAAGAAGCGUGCUAUGACCCUGCAUAUGCUGAAGCACACCCUCCCGACGAGAGGUAGACCAACUUUCUUCCCCAAGUGUUAUAUCUACUAGUUCCUAAACGACAGAGCACAAGUGGUUGAGUUGGCAAGCACAAUGGAGAAACUUAUAGGGCAUAUCGAAGUAUAUGGAGGGUCAAAUUGCCGCACUGAAGGCUGGAAUAUACAUCAUUCUAGAGAUGAUGAUGAUGAUGAUGAUGAUGAUGACGACGACGACGAUGCUUAUGUGGAUGGGGAUGAGGAUGAGGAAAGUCAUGAAGAUAUGAAUUAGGGGCCUUGGUGUUCUUCAAGCACACCUAGUUUUAUCGUCUUAUAUUUUUUUAUAUGUUUAAAUUAUAGUAAAGAAACAUGCUCGUGUAUGUGGAUUAGAUGAAUACUAAGAAUAUUCAGUGUAACCGAUGUGCACUUGCAUCAACAAGAACUGACGGUUGGAUAACAUCAAGCACAUUUCUUUUGUUAUUAGAAAAAAAUUGUUUAUAAAUAUCAACAGCUGAGAUCUGUUAGAUUUGUUGAUUCACUUAUACCGUCGAUGCAUAGAAGAAUUUUCCUUAAUUAUGCUAUUAUUUAUUUUGUGCAAUUGAAGCAAACGUUUCAAUUUGUCUGUUACAUUUGUUCAGUCUUAUUCGAUGCUUCAAGUCUUAUUUAGUUUUUUUGUGUUUGGAUGAACUUUUUUCCCCCCCUUAUUGGU